CUCCUGCACAAUGACAUGUCAUACUAUACUCCUGCCAUGACAUGUCAUUACUCAUACUCCGCCAUGACAUGUCAUUACUAUACUCCUGCCAUGACAUGAAUUCACUAUAAUCCCGCAAUGACAUGUAAUCACUAUCUCCUCCUGCCAUGACAAGUUAUCACUAUACUCCUGCCAUGACAUUAAUACCCAUACUCCUGCAUGACAUGUCAUCACUAUACUCCGCCCUACACUGUAAUCCACUACUACUCCUGCCAUGACAUGUCAUUACUAUACUCCUGCCAUGACAUGUCAUUACUAUACUCCUGCCAUGACAUGCAAUACUACUAUACUCCUGCCAUGCCAUCUAAUCACCAUACUCCUG
rnacentral:lncRNA from 1 species